rfam:Gossypium hirsutum cultivar TM-1 unplaced genomic scaffold scaffold2838.1, whole genome shotgun sequence
CACGUCAACGCGCUUUGCUGACGUGGCAACAAACCGCGGCCUUCAGAACGCGAUAUGUGUCCACGUGGGCAAAGUGCGUUGAUGUGG